GAUGAAGAACGCAGUGAAAUGCGAUACGUAAUGUGAAUUGCAGAAUUCAGUGAAUCAUCGAGUCUUUGAACGCACAUUGCGCCCCCUGGUAUUCCGGGGGGCAUGCCUGUCCGAGCGUCAUUGCUGCCCUCAAGCACGGCUUGUGUGUUGGGCCUCCGUCCUCCUCCCGGGGGACGGGCCCGAAAGGCAGCGGCGGCACCGCGUCCGGUCCUCGAGCGUAUGGGGCUUCGUCACCCGCUCUUGUAGGCCCGGCCGGCGCUUGCCGACACAUCAAUCUUUUUUCCAGGUUGACCUCGGAUCAGGUAGGGAUACCCGCUGAACUUAAGCAUAUCAAUAGCGGAGA
rnacentral:misc_RNA from 1 species